UAAACUAGGAUUAGAUACCCUAUUAUUUUAAAUGUAAAUUUUAUAUACUGAAUUAGUAUUAGUUAUGUUCUUGAAAAUUAAAAAAUUUGGCGGUAUUUUAGUCUUUUCAGAGGAACCUGUCCUGUAAUCGAUAGUCCACGAUAUAGGGUACUUUAUUUAUUAGUUUACAUAUCGUCGUAGAUAGAAUAUUUUAAAAGAAUAUUAAUAUUCUAGAUUUUUAAUUAAAAAAUAAAUCAGAUCAAGGUGUAGUUUAUAAUAAAGGAGAGAUGGGUUACAUUAAAUUUAUUUAAGGAUAAUUUUUAGGAUAAAAAUUUGAAUUUGGAUUUGAAAGUAAUUUUAUUUAAUUAAGUAAAAUGAUUUUAGCUCUAAAAUAUGCACACAUCGCCCGUCGCUCUUAA
rnacentral:rRNA from 1 species